rnacentral:lncRNA from 1 species
GACUUCUCUUUUUUUAUAAAGAUCAAUAGAUUCCAUCUAGGUGCAUCCUACUCCAAACAACAAAUCUAAACCUACUGAAGCCAACAUAUACAGCAAGAUCUUGAAUGGUUAGGGACUAAAAGAAUAUGCAGUCAAACCCAAUAGCCUCGCUGCGAAUAGCCAAUGGCACCAUAGUUCAAAGGAUCACUCAUACUACUGC